GGAUUGUGGCUCAGCGGUAGAGCACCCGCCUACCAUAGGCGGGACCUGGGUUUGACCCUCAGCACCA
rnacentral:tRNA from 1 species